rnacentral:snoRNA from 2 species
CUUAAAGUGAUGACAAAUUAGUCAACUGACUUUGGUUAGAUUUGACCUAUUUUUGGAAGUUUCUAAAUAUACCAAAACUGCAAAUAGGAUGUUCGCAUUUAGCGAGGCAUUUGUCUGAUUGGGAA